rnacentral:rRNA from 1 species
UUAAUUCCGAUAACGAACGAGACUCUCGCCUGCUAAAUAGUUCGGGGACGCCUAAUGCGCGUCCCCGCUAGAACUUCUUAGAGGUACAAGUGGCGUUUAGCCACACGAAACGGAGCAAUAACAGGUCUGUGAUGCCCUUAGAUGUCCGGGGCCGCACAUGUGCUACAAUGGAUGCACCAGCGUGUAUCAUACUCGCCCGAAAGGGUAGGGGAAUCCGCUGAACCGCAUUCUCGGUUGGGAUUGGGGAUUGCAAUUAUUUCCCAUGAACGCGGAAUCCCUCGUAGGCGCCAGUCAUCAGCUGGCGUCGAUUCAGU